GGGAGGGGGAUAUGGGGGGAUGGAGGGAGAGAUGGGGAGAUGGAGGGGGAUGUGGGGGAGAAUGGAAGGGAAUGGGGGAAGAUGGAGGGAGAGAUGGGGGAGAUGGAGGGGGAUGGAUGGAUGGAUGGAUGAGGAUGGAUGGAGGGAUGGAUGGAAGGAAGAGGUUGGAUGGAGGGAUGGAGGGAUGGAGGGAUGGAGGGAUGAGGAUGAAGAGGUUGGAUGGAGGGAUGGGGAUGGAUGGAGGGAUGGAAGGAUGAGGAUGAAGAGGUUGGAUGGAGGGAUGGAUGGAGGGAUGAGGAUGAAGAGGUUGGAUGGAGGGAUGGAUGGAGGGAUGGAGGGAUGAGGAUGAAGAGGUUGGAUGGAUGGAUGGAUAGAUGGACGGAUGGAUGGAGGGAUGAGGAUGAAGAGGUUGGAUGGAGGGAUGGGGAUGGAGGGAUGAGGAUGAAGAGGUUGGAUGGAGGGAUAGAUGGAGGGAUAAGGAUGGAAGAGGUUGGAUGGAUGGAUGGAUGGAGGGAUGGAGGGAUGAGGAUGAAGAGGUUGGAUGGAGGGAUGGAGGGAGGGAGGGAUGGAGGGAUGGAGGGAUGAGGAUGAAGAGGUUGGAUGGAUGGAGGGAUGGGGAUGGAUGGAGGGAUGGAAGGAUGGGGAUGAAGAGGUUGGAUGGAGGGAUGGGGAUGGAGAGGUUGGAUGGAGGGAUGGGGAUGGAGAGGUUGGAUGGAGGGAUGGGGAUGGAGGGAUGAGGAUGAAGAGGUUGGAUGGAGGGAUGGAUGGAGGGAUGGAGGGAUGAGGAUGAAGAGGUUCGAUGGAGGGAUGGGGAUGGAUGGAUGAGGAUGGAAGAGGUUGGAUGGAGGGAUGGAUGGAGGGAUGGAGGGAUGGAUGGAGGGAUGAGGAUGAAGAGGUUGGAUGGAGGGAUGGGGAUGGAGGGAUGAGGAUGAAGAGGUUGGAUGGAGGGAUGGAUGGAGGGAUGGAGGGAUGGAUGGAGGGAUGAGGAUGAAGAGGUUGGAUGGAGGGAUGGGGAUGGAGGGAUGAGGAUGGAGAGGUUGGAUGGAGGGAUGGAGGGAUGGAGGGAUAAGGAUGGAAGAGGUUGGAUAGAUGGAUGGAGGGAUGAGGAUGAAGAGAUUGGAUGGAGGGAUGGAUAGAGGGAUGGAGGGAUGAGGAUGAAGAGGUUGGAUGGAUGGAUAGAUGGACAGAUGGAUGGAGGGAUGAGGAUGAAGAGGUUGGAUGGAGGGAUGGGGUUGGAUGGAUGAGGAUGAAGAUGUUGGAUGGAGGGAUGGGGAUGAAGAGGUUGGAUGGAUGGAGGG
ensembl:lncRNA